UGUCCUCCAUAGGAGGUCUAUGUUGAGCAGAUUCUUUUUGGUAUUGGGUGGUGGAACCGGAGCGUGCUCCAUCCACUCCAUGCAUUGACCUGGUAUUGCAGUGCUUCCAGGACCGGUGC
rnacentral:snRNA from 1 species